GACGAACGCUGGCGACAUGCCUAAUACAUGCAAGUAGAACGCUGACGGCGGAGCUUGCUUCUCUGGAUGAGUUGCACACGGGUGAGUAACGCGUAGGUAACCUGCCUGUUAGCGUGGGAUAACUAUUGGAAGCGAUAGCUAAUACCGCUUAAUAGUAGAUGUUGCAUGACAUUUCCUAAAACGGUGCAAUUGCAUCACUACCAGAUGGACCUGCGUUGUAGUAGCUAGUUGGUGGGGUAACGGCUCACCAAGGCGACGAUACCGAGCCGACCUGAGAGGGGGAUCGACCACACCGGGACUGGGACACGGCCCAGACUCCUACGGGAGGCAGCAGUAGGGAAUCUGCGGAAAUGGACGGAAGUCUGACCGAGCAACGCCGCGUGAGUGAAGAAGGUUUUCGGAUCGUAAAGCUCUGUUGUAAGAGAAGAACGAGUGUGAGAGUGGAAAGUUCACACUGUGACGGUACCUUACCAGAAAGAGACGGCUAACUACGUG
rnacentral:rRNA from 1 species